GACACGGCCCAGACUCCUACGGGAGGCAGCAGUGGGGAAUAUUGCACAAUGGGCGCAAGCCUGAUGCAGCCAUACCGCGUGUGUGAAGAAGGCUCUAGGGUUGUAAAGCACUUUCAGUAGGGAGGAAAGGUUGUAGAUUAAUACUCUGCAGCUGUGACGUUACCUACAGAAGAAGGACCGGCUAACUCCGUGCCAGCAGCCGCGGUAAUACGGAGGGUCCGAGCGUUAAUCGGAAUUACUGGGCGUAAAGCGUACGUAGGUGGUUUGUUAAGUUGGAUGUGAAAGCCCAGGGCUCAACCUUGGAACUGCAUUCAAAACUGAUGAACUAGAAUAUGGUAGAGGUAAGUGGAAUUUCCUGUGUAGCGGUGAAAUGCGUAGAGAUGGGAAGGAACAUCAGUGGCGAAGGCGACUUACUGGACCAAUAUUGACACUGAGGUACGAAAGCGUGGGUAGCAAACAGGAUUAGAUACCCUGGUAGUCCACGCCGUAAACGAUGUCUACUAGCCGUUGGGAUCCUUGAGAUCUUAGUGGCGCAGCUAACGCACUAAGUAGACCGCCUGGGGAGUACGGUCGCAAGAUUAAAACUCAAAUGAAUUGACGGGGGCCCGCACAAGCGGUGGAGCAUGUGGUUUAAUUCGAAGCAACGCGAAGAACCUUACCUACUCUUGACAUCCACAGAACUUUUCAGAGAUGAAUUGGUGCCUUCGGGAACUGUGAGACAGGUGCUGCAUGGCUGUCGUCAGCUCGUGUUGUGAAAUGUUGGGUUAAGUCC
rnacentral:rRNA from 1 species